rnacentral:rRNA from 1 species
AUGCACGCUAGCUACAGGCUUCACCCAUGCCGGUCGCGGGGCAGCAUGGGGGUUGCUUGCAAUCCCCGAUGGCGACCGGCGCACGGGUGAGUAACGCGUAUCCAACCUGCCCUUCACCACGGGAUAACCCGGCGAAAGUCGGACUAAUACCGUAUGUUGUCCAUUGACGGCAUCCGAUUUGGACGAAAGGCUUGGCGGUGAGGGAUGGGGAUGCGUCCGAUUAGCCAGACGGCGGGGUAACGGCCACCGUGGCUACGAUCGGUAGGGGUUCUGAGAGGAAGGUCCCCCACACUGGAACUGAGACACGGUCCAGACUCCUACGGGAGGCAGCAGUGAGGAAUAUUGGUCAAUGGGCGUAAGCCUGAACCAGCCAAGUAGCGUGCAGGAUGACGGCCCUAUGGGUUGUAAACUGCUUUUAUGCGGGGAUAAAGUGGCCCACGUGUGGGCUUUUGCAGGUACCGCAUGAAUAAGGACCGGCUAAUUCCGUG